GACCUGUCCCACGUCAUGUCACUGUAGUGUCAAAGUGCUUACAGUGCAGGUAGUUCAAUAUAAUCUACUGCAGUGGAGGCACUUCAAGCUUUACCGUGACGCAAAAACUCGAGCGCAAC
rnacentral:pre_miRNA from 8 species